GCCAGACUCCUACGGGGGCAGCAGUGAGGAAUAUUGGUCAAUGGGAGAGAUCCUGAGCCAGCCAAGCCGCGUGAGGGAAGACGGCCCUAUGGGUUGUAAACCUCUUUUGUCGGAGAACAAAACCCGGGACGUGUCCCGGACUGCGUGUAUCCGAAGAAAAAGCAUCGGCUAACUCCGUGCCAGCAGCCGCGGUAAUACGGAGGAUGCGAGCGUUAUCCGGAUUUAUUGGGUUUAAAGGGUGCGUAGGCGGACUGGAAAGUCAGCGGUAAAAUCGAGAGGCUCAACCUCUGUCCGCCGUUGAAACUGUCGGUCUUGAGUGGGCGAGAAGUAUGCGGAAUGCGUGGUGUAGCGGUGAAAUGCAUAGAUAUCACGCAGAACUCCGAUUGCGAAGGCAGCAUACCGGCGCCCGACUGACGCUGAGGCACGAAAGCGUGGGUAUCGAACAGGAUUAGAUACCCUCGUAA
rnacentral:rRNA from 1 species